rnacentral:rRNA from 1 species
UACGGAGGGUGCAAGCGUUAAUCGGAAUUACUGGGCGUAAAGGGCACGUAGGUGGUGAUGUAAGUUGGUUGUAAAAGCCCCGGGCUUAACCUGGGAAAGCCAAUCAAAACUGCAUGACUAGAGUACAGUAGAGGGUAGUGGAAUUUCCGGUGUAGCGGUGAAAUGCGUAGAUAUCGGAAGGAACACCAGUUGCGAAGGCGGCUACCUGGACUGAUACUGACACUGAGGUGCGAAAGCGUGGGUAGCGAACAGG